AGAGAGAGAGAGAGAGAGAGAGAGAGAGAGAGAGAGAGAGAGAGAGAGAGAGAGAGUAGAUAUAUAAGUAGAUAACAUGGUUUUCUACUGUAUUUGUGGCGGGUGCAACAACUCCAGCAAAAGUGGACAUAGGGUCCAUUGCUUCCCCAAGGACAAAGGGAUUCUCCGAAGCUGGGUGCAAUUUGUCAAGUUUAGGCGGGCAGAUUUUUCAGCUAGCUCUGUUACCGCGUACUCCAGAAUAUGCAGCGCGCAUUUCAAGGAGGAGGAUUACCACUCAGGGGAUGCCAAGAUGGUCUCACUUGGUUUAAAGAGUAAGAGGACGGCGAAGUUAAUUCCUACCGCCGUGCCGUCUGUGCAUGCAAACCACUCUGCCUGCCCUGUCCCGAGGUCGAGAGACACCGUCUGCCGCAAGCGAGAGAUUGCCACGAUGUUGACAGACGCCUCACAGCAGGAGACCGUGGCCAGUGUAGACACUGUGGAGAGUGUCGAUACUGGGGAUCAGCCCUUGCCCUCCUCCACUUCUGACGCUGGGACACAAUGUUUUUUGAAGCCCCCCCGAUGGUCUCACGCUGUGCAGGUUAACCUGAAGCCCAAGAUGGUUAGUGUGGGCACACAGACUUCAAUCAGCCCACAAACCUCC